GAUCCUGGCGCGGGGCAGGCCGGGGCGGAGGGCAGGGGAACCGGGGCCUCAGUCUCAUGUGGUGAGCGCUUGGUCCGGUGCCUUGGUGGCGAAGAGGAAGGAACUGGACUGUGGGGAGGAACGGAGAAGGUCUCUUCACCCUUGGCAGGGGUGGAGGGAGGUGAUCAGACAGGUACAAUGUGGAGGCCUAAGCUGUCGCCCUGCAGUUUCAUGUGGUUUCCAUGGUAACUAGUGGCGGUCAUAGGCAGCGGCAGCAGUGGGAGGUGCGGAGCCCCGGGAUGUGGCACUAUAAUAAUAAGGGGAACCUGAAAGUUAACACAGGAGAAGAAUGGACUGGUUGAAAGGACAAACAGUAAACAAAAAAAAAAAAAAAAAAAAAAAAAAAAAACAACCAAAACAAAACAAAACAAAAAAAACCGAACCAAAACAAAACAAAAAACAGAAACAAUCAAACUAAGAAAAGAAAUAACGGACAACUGAAUACAAAAAGAAAGGUAGAAAGAAAGAAAAGCAAAAGAACCAAAAGAAGGACUUGGAGACUGAGCUCCUAAUGGGAUUAGGGAAAGGCCAUCAGUGGAAGCCGACUGAGGGCCACGCUUCAGUCGAUAGAUCCCACUGUGGCCUCUGGAUAGGAUGCCCCUCUACAGGAAGGAGAUCCUUUUGCAUCCUCUGACAAUCAGUUCACUUCCAGUUUCCAUUGCGAGUGCCCCGGAGCAGGAGGAGCAGCUUCCCCCGAGGAAGCGCCUCCCGUCGGGCAGCGGGCAGCGGGCGCUGGCCCCUCCCGGCUCUCCAGCCCUGGCCACCCUCGGCAGCCCGGGGGUCCCGGGGGUAGCAGCAGGAGCGGCUCGGUCAGGGCCAAUACGAAGAAGCAACAGUUCCCUGGCAAGACGAGGGAAGGGAAGAACCUGCUUUUCCCCCGGGCAAGGCUUUCUUCGGGAUGGGGAGGGAGCAAGUGGCGGCACGGCUGGGCUGCCUUGCUCCGCUGCUCUUGCCAGGCGCGGGGGCUAGUGUUGGGGAACAGCUACGGGAGCAACAAAAAAUAGACCUCAAGGUGCAAGAAGUGAGGAAGCAGUGGCUCUCCCUUCCCAGACAGCCUGUCCUUACACGCCGUCUCCACGUCGAUGGAAAACUCCAGACCUCGGUGGAAAACUCCAAUACUCCAGGCACUAGUAAUGAUAAGAGGAACAAUAAUGACAACAAUGAUAAUGUGUUUCCGUAUAUUAAAGCAUAGAAAAUAAAUAUCCUCCUACAUCCAUUGCC